rnacentral:lncRNA from 1 species
GUUCUCUGUCUGAAUUAGUUUACAUUGUGAUAGGGUUGCAAGAAACAAGCGGAGGCUGAUUUAGUUAAGCCUAGUGAACAAGUCAUACCCGCAUGUAAAGCUUCAUGGAAGGUACGUCGAUCGACAACUCAGUAGUCGUAUCGAUCGAUGGGCUGAAAGGUGUAUCGAUCGACAAUCCUUAAUUGGUAUCGAUCAACACUUUCUCAAGACCAACAAGCGACAACUGAGGUCUUAGAUAGUCUAAAAAUACAGAAGUUGAUCGACUAUUCUUACUGUUUGAGUUCUAGAAUAUCCAAUAUAUGCUUAGUAUCUAUAUCUCUAUAAUCUUGAUUGUCUGAAUAGAAACCCUAAGUCUAACGCCUUUCAUAUUUGUCUUAAAACCCCAAUCAA